UAUUGGACAAUGGGCGAAAGCCUGAUCCGGCCAUGCCGCGUGAGUGAUGAAGGCCUUAGGGUUGUAAAGCUCUUUUACCCGGGAAGAUAAUGACGGUACCGGGAGAAUAAGCCCCGGCUAACUUCGUGCCAGCAGCCGCGGUAAUACGAAGGGGGCUAGCGUUGUUCGGAUUUACUGGGCGUAAAGCGCACGUAGGCGGAUCUUUAAGUCAGAGGUGAAAUCCCAAGGCUCAACCUUGGAACUGCCUUUGAUACUGGGGAUCUCGAGUCCGGGAGAGGUGAGUGGAACUGCGAGUGUAGAGGUGAAAUUCGUAGAUAUUCGCAAGAACACCAGUGGCGAAGGCGGCUCACUGGCCCGGAACUGACGCUGAGUCGAAAG
rnacentral:rRNA from 1 species